GAUGAAGAACGUAGUGAAAUGCGAUAAGUAAUGUGAAUUGCAGAAUUCAGUGAAUCAUCGAAUCUUUGAACGCACAUUGCGCCCGCCGGUAUUCCGGCGGGCAUGCCUGUCCGAGCGUCAUUUCACCACUCAAGCCCAGCUUGGUGUUGGGGCACCCGGCCGCCCGGCGGUCGGGGCCCCCAAGUACAUCGGCGGUCCCGCUGGGGGCUCCGAGCGCAGUAACUCGCGGUAAAACGCGCCCUCGCUCGGCGGCCUCUUCGGGCUUCCAGCCGCUAAAACCCCCCCCGUCGUCCACCGACGACGCCAUUUCGAGUUGACCUCGGAUCAGGUAGGAAUACCCGCUGAACUUAAGCAUAUCAAUAAGCGGAGGA
rnacentral:misc_RNA from 1 species